GCGACAUGGCCUGCGCCGAGCUGUGGAUCGGAGCGAUGGGGAUGUUGACGGUGCACGAUUGGGCUAGUGGCACAUACGAUCUGACCUCCACCUAUCUUAACCCAUAACAAGGCAGACCUCCAGCUCCUCCUUACCUGGUAAAUCAUCUUCAUCUUCACUGAAAACAUUUGGAUUGAAGACAGAGCUGGCUGAGUCUAGUCUGGGUGAUUUCCAAAGUGUGUGUUGGGGGCUGGGUAACCCAAACCAUCACACCUUCCUUCCAAUUAAG